UAAGGCACAGGUCUGAUGGACCUGCCUUCAUCCCCGCGACAGAUGUGCCCAGGACGGCUAUCGAUCUUAGUUAAACGGGGAGCCCUGCUGCCACGUGUAGUUGGAUGCAGCUCUCUGUGUCAUUUCCGACCUGGAUUCCAGUCCUGAGUCGUUGGCUUGCAGGAACUUAAUUUUCAAGGCAGGCAAUAUUAUUGGCAGGGCGUGCCUACCUAGCCUUAGUGAUUAACGAGUUCAGCCCCACCAAGUCCAUUUCCUGGUGCCGUCUCUAUUGCAUUUCUGGUCAUCACUUGUCUCCUCAGUGGUUGUUGUCACUGAUGGCUUUGUGGACUUGAAUGGUCGGCAUAUGUUUCCUAGCUAUGGCUGGUAGCCUAAGCUUGUUUUCCCCGUGUGACAGUAGUUUGCUGCCUAGAGAGAUGAAUUUAUCAAGUAUCUCUACAACUUGUCUACUUGAAUUUCUUCCACCUAUAACAAGAUCUUAGUUUUCACUUGAGAAGUGUAUUGUUCAUAACUGUAUGUUUUCUGAUGAAGACUCUUAGACAUUAUUCACACACCGGCUGCAAAGGGGGCAUAAUCUGCAUUACCCACAGUGAAAACAUCAACCAAAACUUUACUGGUGUUUGCAAGCAUAUGUCUCAAUAUGAAGCUAUCUCAUGGCUUAACAGAUGUGCAGCUAGGAAGCAUGCCUCUCUCUGUCCAGACCUUAGAUGAUACCAAGAGAAUGAUUCUCCAGUUGUACCCUGAUCCUGAACCUUCUUAUGGAUCUUGAAUUAGACCUAAGGGGCUAUUAGAUGGCAGUGCCUCAUCAAGACUUGCAUAGCAUGUUGCAGCUGUGAGACUCAAUGGCCACUUUGAGUCCAAGAAUGGGAGCUGUCAAAGGGAGAUGCAUUUGAAAUGACUCUCGGGUGAAGGACAGGGACUGCAUGUUCACUGAAGGUCACUCUGCAGUGAAAGUAAUUCUAUGCAACAGGACACAGUUUUGGUCUGAGGAGCUGGAUCAGUUCCAGUGCAUUAAGAUCAGUGUUGUUGAAAGAUAUCUGUGAUAGACCAGUGGUAUACUGACAGAUACCUGUGGGAAUAAACACCCUAAGGGUGUCUGCAUGGUGGCACCUUGUACUCAUGGAAGUAUGACAUUGGCUGCAGCAUCACCUUCCAGAAAAGAGCACAGUCUGGGACAUACCUGUUCACAGGAAGUAAAGUACUUACUGCUGGUUUGCAAGGAGCAGCAUAACAAGGUCUCAUUUGGAAACUUUAAUUCAACUCAAGAAGAUCUAGUAAUUUUUCUAAGUGAGGCAAUCUAUGAAGAUCAUGCCUGCAAAGAACUGUGAAGGCAAGCAGCUAGGCUCCCUUUAUUGAAUGUGCGAAGAGCAUGAAAUAUAUCUCUUGUAUUUACAGUUAUAGAAAUAAAGUUAUAUUCUAGAAAUAUAACUUAGAUUGUUAUCAUAGCAAUAAAGUAGGUCUGUGAGUUAUUUGCAGUCUGCAAUUUUUCCUGGUCAGAUUUGUAGUUGGCCUCAAGUAAUUUCUUUGUGUUGCUUGGGAAAUUGAAUUCCCUUCCCCCUCUGUAGCUUGGUGGCUGAGUACAAAUACAACUGCUUCGAUGUUUUAAGAGCAUCGAGUGACUGUUUUUUUCCAGGCUAGAAGACAUAUUGCUGAGAAGUUCCACUGACUAAAUGUCUGUUCUCUCAAACAGACAUUGGAAAGCAUGUUUGUAAUUUCAUACUCUGUUUUGUUAGAUAUAUACAAAUGCAAAACUAAAACCAAACAAAAAUCCGUUCCCUAAAGAGAAUAAGUGUACACAAUCUGUAGAGAAAACUGUUUCCAAGCAAUACAGACACUAAAUGGUAUUCUUAAGUUUUCUUUUUAAUAUCAUUUUACUCCGAUAGCUCUAAUUAGCAAAGGCAAAAAUAAAUACCUGAAGCAUUUUUCUUUGCAUUGGAAAUAUGAAAGAGAAACAGCAGCAAGAGGUCUCAUCUCCAAAAAGGAUACCUGUGACGGUGGGCACUGUAUUGCUGUGGAAUAAAGACGGCCUCCAGAGAAAAUUAAGGCUUAAAUACAUGAUGGAAUACAGUGGGCAUGCAAGCAGCAUUGUUUCACUGAAGGCAAUUGUAUAUGGACUAAUAGUUAAUUAUAGUAUAGUAGAUAUUAAUGAGAAGGAUUCUAUUUUAAGCUUUCUUUAAAUUAAUUAUAAUAGAAUCAUGGGUUUAAAUAAGACUUCCUUUUAAAGGUAUAUUAAAAAAAACCCAACUGUAUGAAAACCAUUGUAAAAAGUUAUAGACUUCAGUGGAAAACAACUGACUAUAUGCAUUACAUGUUUUGGUUGUGGAUCACAACGACUGUGUUAGUAGUCAAAACUGCAGUUGUAACCAUCAUUAAAUGCAAAGCACAGAAAAAUUGACACAGCGAAGAGCCAAAGCGGCGUCAUUGUGACACUGGUUUUUGGGUUUGUUUGGGUUUUAUUUCUUUUUUCUGUCUAUGUACAACCAGGGACUAAAUUUGCAAACUUUUGGGAGGAGACAAAAAUGGAGACUCCAGGAAGGAGGCUCAAAUACAGUCAACUUUUUUUUUCUUCCAAAGAAGCUAUUCCUGAAAGGAAAUAGGCUGAAAUUCUUUACACUUUCUUUCACCCCAUUUUUAAGCAAAACUAAACAGAACCUUUUUAGCUGGAUUUCACUGUAUUUAAAAGUUGAUUCCUCUGCUAUUAAACAAGGAAUUAAUAUGUUUUUUCUUGAACUAACUGAAAAAUGAUUUUGCUAGAAAUGCUUAAAAUUGGGCAUGUUCAUAGUCCUCUAAGGAACGUGUACUCUGCCAAGUCUGAAAACACUUGGAACAGAAAAAAGGUCUGAGUGCAUACAGUGCUACAUCUUGCAUACAGUGCUACAUUUUUUUUACUGAUUUAUGAACAAGACACCGAUGCUUAGCUUGUACAGUUUGUCUGAUUCAUGCAGUGAAAUAAACACAGCUGCAUUUAUUACAGUGAUUGUCUAAUCACAUAUUUGGUACCCACAAACUUCUGGGAAUAUUCAGAGAGCAGUAUGUGCUAAAAAUCCUAAUUUCAUUUACUUUCUCUAAUAUCAGUCUCAUUUUAUAUUUAAUAUAAGUUUUUGUUUAUGUAAGUUAGACAUUUUAGUAGUAAUGAUUCUGCAACAACAGUAAUUCAGAUAAUUUGCACCACCUGUAAAAAGUGACAUUGUCAUUGCACAGGUCAUAGAAAAUACAAAGAUGCCAGUUGUCACAGGUAUUGCUUUCAGCUUCCUAAUUUGGAGCUGUAUAGAUCCUCAGCUGUUACUCUAUGUAGUGUAGACUUUACUACUCAAUGUAAUUUCUAGAUAGCCAUAAUACUGUCAGCCUUUCAAAUCAUUAUUUUGGAAUUUGAAAAUAUUUUCCCAUACUUUUUUUAUUAGCAAUAUGCCAGUUUUUGAGACUGACUGUGUAUAUAAACAAAACCACUGAGUUUUGCAGCAUCAACACACUGGAUCUCAUCACAACCAAGGUAGACGAAAUUAUGCAGAGGAAAAUAAACAAGGUAGCCAGAGACCUUUAAUGAUCUACCACAGUUGCAAAUUCUCCCCAGAUGAAUAUUUUUAAAAGUCAGCUUAAAGCCAAAAGCAUUUUUUUUCUGGUAUCCUAUAAAUAUCCAAAACAUGGAUAGUAUACUAUAUAUAUUUAGAAAAUAUUUUGUCAUUUUUUUUAAUCUGAAAAUGGAGGGGUGAGUUUAGGCAGUGGUGGGAUAUGUUGCAGAUUGCUGCACACACACCCACUAUAAUUUCUCUAGUGACUGGUUCAGCCGUGGUAGAGAUUCCAGUGACAAGCCAUGCUCACGGACAAGGAAGAGAACGGGGAAAUCUGCGCUGGUUGAUAGAUGGUUUAUCAUGCCCUGCGUUUUUUCAGUGACCAAACCCCGUGUUUUAUUUAUGAGGCAGGAGCUGCUGCAAUGUGUCAAAACUCAUUUGUGACUGACUGGCAUACCAUCUGUAUUCAUCAACUGAAACGUAAAACAGUGGCAUCUUUUUAAAAAAAUGUUAUAUAUAUAUAUAUAUAUAGUUUAAACAAGAACUUUGCUGUAGCUGUAGUGACUGGUGGUGGGAAGAUAAUACCUAAGGAGAAAUUCAAUUCUGCUUUAGUGACCAGCAUAGUCUGUGUGUUUGGCAUGCAAUUAAGAGGCUUCUGUCUGUUUGAUGUAUUGUUUGCUCUGAGUCCCAAGGCAUUCAUUUGAGAAGAUAAUCAGCCUUGUUAAAAGAAUACAAUUUCAAGUCUUGUUUGAUGAAAUUAUUUUUCAGACUGUUUUAGGGUUUUUGUUAUGAUAUUUAGUUAAUUAAUCAAAAUGUAAACUGUGCAAUUGCUUCAAAGGAGACCACGUAUAACACAAUCAGAGAAGACAUAAAUGUGUCUUGGAUAAAUAAAAAUUUUGUAAAUAAUUUACACAAGAUUUUAACAUGAUCGGUUGUCAUUAAAGCUAGGGACAGCAACAAAAGA